UACAGAGGGUGCGAGCGUUGUUCGGAAUUACUGGGCGUAAAGCGGGUGUAGGCGGUUUAUUAAGUCAGAUGUGAAAUCCCGGGGCCUAACUCCGGAAGUGCAUUUGAAACUAAUAAGCUGGAGUGAUGUAGAGGAUGGCGGAAUACCCAGUGUAGAGGUGAAAUUCGUAGAGAUUGGGUAGAACACCGGUGGCGAAGGCGGCCAUCUGGGCAUUAACUGACGCUGAGACGCGAAAGCGUGGGGAGCAAACAGG
rnacentral:rRNA from 1 species